rnacentral:lncRNA from 10 species
GUGGGCGUAGGACCCUCCGAGCCAGGUGCGGGAUAUAUUCUCGUGGUGCGCCGUUUUUUAAGCCCGUCGGAAAGGCGCAGUAUUUGGGUAGGAGUGACCCGAUUUUCCAGGUGCCGUCCGUCACCCCUUUCUUUGACUCAGAAAGGGAACUCCCUGACCCCUUGCGCUUCCCAAGUGAGGCAAUGCCUCGCCCUGCUUCGGCUCGCGCAUGGUGCUCGCUCCCACUGACCUGCGCCCACUGUCUGGCACUCCCUAGUGAGAUGAACCCGGUACCUCAGCUGGAAAUGCAGAAAUCACCCGUCUUCUGCGUCGCUCACGCUGGGAGCUGUAGACUGGAGCUGUAGACAGGAGCUGUUCCUAUUCGGGCAUCUUGGCUCCUCCUUGAAAACAAGCCCUGGAAAAACAAAGAAUGGAACACCCCUCCGCUGACUUCAACCAACUGCCUGCUGAUGCGGCCUGACUCCCAGCCCUUUUUGCAGUUUUGAAGUGACAAACUGACUAGGCUACAAAGUAUUCAACCAUGGGCUGGUUCUGGCUGGUUCACCGAGGCUGUGUACAAAGUGUCUUCAUGUCCUGUGUUUCACCUUUUAACAUACAGAACCUAAUUUUACUGCAUUUUAAUGUUAAUUCUCCACUCGAAGGUGAACAUGGGAUGUAUGUAACACAUAUGUUUGCUUAUCAAGCACACAUAUGACCCCCUUUCAUGAAUAUUCAUAGUUCCCCCUGUGACCUGUUGAAUAUGUCUGUUUAGCCAACCUGUUUGGCAUAAAACUCCUAUCCCACCCUAUCUCCCUCAAAGUACCUGUUUGUGGUCUCAGCUGGAGGUGCCACUUCCCAGCCUGCAGUUUGCAACCCUUCUCAAGAAAUAAAGUCUUCCUUUCCAA